CGUGUGCAGCGGUGCCCUUCCAUCCUUCUGUUAACGUUUCUGAUAUUCAUUUAUUGGUCUCGGGCUCAGAUAUUUUACCUUGAGAAAAUUAGAGUGUUCCAGGCAGGCUUGCGCCGGAAUACAUUAGCAUGGAAUAAUAGAAUAGGACUUUAGUCUCCUUUGUUGGUUUGAGGGACUGAAGUAAUGAUUAAUAGGGAUAGUUGGGGGCAUUAGUAUUUAAUUGUCAGAGGUGAAAUUCUUGGAUUGAUUGAAGACUAACUACUGCGAAAGCAUUUGCCAAGGAUGUUUUCAUUAAUCAGGAACGAAAGUUAGGGGAUCGAAGACGAUCAGAUACCGUCGUAGUCUUAACCAUAAACUAUGCCGACUGAGGAUCGGAGGUCGUACCAUUACAACUCCUUCGGCACUCCAAGAGAAAUCUAAGUCUCUGGGCUCUGGGGGGAGUAUGGUCGCAAGGCUGAAACUUAAAGGAAUUGACGGAAGGGCACCACCAGGAGUGGAGCCUGCGGCUUAAUUUGACUCAACGCGGGGAACCUCACCAGGCCCGGACAUAGUCAUGAUUGACAGAUUGAGAGUUCUUUCUCGAUUCUAUGGGUGGUGGUGCAUGGCCGUUCUUAGUCGGUGAGGUGACUUGUCUGGUUAAUUCCGAUAACGGACGAGACCUCGACCUACUAAUUAGCUGAUGCUUACUCGUAAGCUCUCAGCUUCUUAGAGGGACUUUGUG
rnacentral:rRNA from 1 species